AAUGAGAGGAGCCCAAUACUUGCUUUUUAGGGUUUCACCUCUUUCUCUCUCAUUAGUCCCUCACUCCCUCUCUCUCCCCUCUCCUCUUCUCCCCUCCCCGUCAUUCACCUCUCCUCCCUCCCCUCUCCAAUACUUGAGCUGCAAUGGCAUUCAUCUUGAUACGAGCAACUUGACCGGCGGCUUCAUACAAGAGCUCCCAAGCGGCAUCGUUUUUGGGCGGAUGUGUCACCGGCAGUGACGGAACUCUUGCUAAAAAACCCACUCUGAUUUGACUAGGGUCCGAACCCGGUUAGCGUCGAUUGUGGCCCGUUGAGAACAACCAAGCUCGUAGGCUUCUUCCUCUUUAGAUCUAAGUCGUUGAAGAACCGAUGCUAGGCUGAUUAAAUUUCUAGGCUACCAUACAUAAGGUUUGGGGAAGUCUUUUCUUAUUACGGAGAUUCCGAAGUUUGCAUACAGUUUCCCAUGAUACACCAAGUGAAACCCUAAAGAGAAAGGUAGUGAUCUUGAGAAAAAGAGGAAGGCAAGAAAUCCAAAGAAAACUGAGGUUUUUGUUGAUGUUCUAGAGUCCAUGUCGUUUUACGAUACAACUACCAUGCCAAUGAUGCUUAUCGCUGUUGGGGUUGCACUUUUUUCCAAACUUCUUAUUAUGAACAAUAGGCUAGAGAGGUUGUGGCUAGGAGAGACACCAGGGUUCUUAAAUUUCUACAACAGCAGAAAGAGGCCAAGUUUCAACAGUUGCACGGUUUAAUUAAGGAAAAUAAAAACAAGAGUUCGGGUUCGAGUUCGAGAUCUGGUAACAAUAAGGCCAAAGAAUGGAGGUUGAAAGGAGGCUUGAGACCGUUCAAAACAUGGACGAUCACGACGGUAAGGAGGAGGCGUUACGCUCUUCUUUGGCCACCGUGUCUGAGGCUAACUCUAGGCUUCAGAGCGUCCAAUAUAAAUAAGUUGUUGUUGUUGUCUAAGACUUAUACCAGUGUCCAACAUAAAUCGUAAAAGGCACUAUGGAUUGGAUUGUUUUUUACUAUUUACGCUUGCAAGAUUUUUACUUUAUAUCUCUAGUUGUUUGUUUUUCCUUUAUGUUUAUGCCUUUGAUAUCUUGCUACUCUUUCCCUUGGCUCAAAGUAAUACUUGUUAUGUUUGUGCUUUUGAUUUUGGCU